UCUUUUGCUAUUUUUUAGUAUUGGAGAUUUUGUUACUUUGAGUAAAUUAGAGUGUUCAAAGCAAACAGUUAAAGCAUUUUUACUGCGUUUGAAUACUACAGCAUGGAAUAACAAAAUUGAACAAGUCAGAAUUCUGUUCUUUUUUCUUAUUUUGGCUUAGUUACGAUUAAUAGGAGUAGCUUGGGGGCAUUUGUAUUCAGAUGUCAGAGGUGAAAUUCUUAGAU
rnacentral:rRNA from 1 species